rnacentral:rRNA from 1 species
GAUGAACGCUGGCGGCGUGCCUAAUACAUGCAAGUCGAGCGAACGGACGAGAAGCUUGCUUCUCUAAUGUUAGCGGCGGACGGGUGAGUAACACGUGGAUAACCUACCUAUAAGACUGGGAUAACUUCGGGAAACCGUAGCUAGUACCGGAUAAUAUUUUGAACCGCAUGGUUCAAAAGUGAAAGACGGUCUUGCUGUCACUUAUAGAUGGAUCCGCGCUGCAUUAGCUAGUUGGUAAGGUAACGGCUUACCAAGGCAACGAUGCAUAGCCGACCUGAGAGGGUGAUCGGCCACACUGGAACUGAGACACGGUCCAGACUCCUACGGGAGGCAGCAGUAGGGAAUCUUCCGCAAUGGGCGAAAGCCUGACGGAGCAACGCCGCGUGAGUGAUGAAGGUCUUCGGAUCGUAAAACUCUGUUAUUAGGGAAGAACAUAUGUGUAAGUAACUGUGCACAUCUUGACGGUACCUAAUCAGAAAGCCACGGCUAACUACGUG